rnacentral:rRNA from 1 species
UAAAGCUAAAUAUUGGCGAGAGACCGAUAGCGAACAAGUACAGUGAUGGAAAGAUGAAAAGAACUUUGAAAAGAGAGUGAAAAAGUACGUGAAAUUGUUGAAAGGGAAGGGCAUUUGAUCAGACAUGGCGUUUGCUUCGGCUUUCGCUGGGCCAGCAUCAGUUUUAGCGGUUGGAUAAAUCCUCGGGAAUGUGGCUCUGCUUCGGUAGAGUGUUAUAGCCCGUGGGAAUACAGCCAGCUGGGACUGAGGAUUGCGACUUUUGUCAAGGAUG